CUGUGCUAGACGGGGAGCUUGCGGUGCCCUGUAAACUACAAUCCGCAAUAGUAGUGUCGAACGCCGUCCGAGGUCUUUGAUAUGGUUGGCUGCACGGUGCAAGGAAUGUUGAUAGCAAGGUCCCGUGCAAUGUCAUACUGCGAACCGUGUCAGAGCUUGACCGCAGCAGCACUAAACAGGCGUUGGCGUGUGCCACGGGGAAACUUUGGAGGAGUCACCUACACCGUUUCCGCUUCGGUGUCGAUUAUCGAAGACGGUGCACAG
rfam:Firmicutes bacterium CAG:475 genomic scaffold, scf148